GACGAACGCUGGCGGCGUGCUUAACACAUGCCAGUCGAACGGAAAGGCCCUGCUUGCAGGGUGCUCGAGUGGCGAACGGGUGAGUAACACGUGGGUGAUCUGCCCCUUAUUUUGGGAUAAGCCUGGGAAACUGGGUCUAAUACUGUAUAGGACCAUGCUGUAUGUUGUGUGGUGGAAAGAUAUGUUUCGGUAAGGGAUGAGGUCGCGGCGUAUCAGCUUGUUGGGGGGGUAUUGGCCUACCAAGGCGUCGACGGGUAGCCGCCCUGAGAGGGUGGACGGCCACAUUGGGACUGAGAUACGGCCCAGAGUCCUACGGGAGGCAGCAGUGGGGAAUAUUGCACAAUGGGCGGACGCCUGAUGCAGCGACGCCGCGGGGGGGAUGACGGCCUUCGGGUUGUAAGCUCCUUUCAGCCAUGACGAAGCCCUUGUGGUGACGGUAGUGGUAGAAGAAGCACCGGCUAACUACGUG
rnacentral:rRNA from 1 species